GGCAGCUCCUCAGUUACUUCUCUGUUCCUCUAACUCAGUCAGGAGAAUCAGCUCUAAGUCAGUGCUGGAGGGAUCACUUUCAUUUUAAGCAGGUUUUCAGUGCAGGGAGGCAUUUCUUCUCCUCUUAUCUGGUCCCCUUCCUUCUCAGCCCCAGGGAAGAAGGCAUGCUGUGGGCUCUAGCCCUACUUCUAGCCAUUCUGCCUCCUGGCAGUCAAACAUCUUCCAGUUUGGAAGGGAGAAUGAUGUCAGUAACAAGUUCACCUGGGUCAUAUGUGUCAAUCUCUUGUGAUUUUGCAAGUACCUACAUCCACUGGUACCAAUUCAAGGAAGGGGAGGCCCCACAACGCCUACUCUACUAUGAUUUUAUAAAUUCCAAGGUUGUACGUGACUCAGGAAUCACUUGGAUAAAAUAUAGUGCUUAUAAAGGUGCAGAUGGGAGAUGUAAAUUAACAGUAAGGAAUGUGGAAGAAAGUGACUCUGCUGUGUAUUACUGUGCCCACUGGUCUGAUUAUGUUAAGAAGGUCUUUGGUGUUGGAACCAAACUUGUUGUCACAGAUAAAAGCUCUGAUGCAGACAUUUUCCCCAAGCCCACAAUUUUCCUUCCUUCAGUUGCUGAAAUAAAUCUCCAUAAGGCUGGGACACAUCUUUGUGUUCUUGAGAACUUUUUCCCUGAUGUUAUUAAGGUAUAUUGGAAAGAGAAAGGUGGUGAUAGGAUUCUGGAAUCCCAGCCCGGAAAUACCAUGAAGACUAAAGAUACAUACAUGAAGAUGAGCUGGCUCACCGUGACUGGAAAGUCAAUGGAUAAAGAGCACAGAUGUAUCAUCAAACAUGAGAAAAAUAAAGGAGGAGUUGAUCAAGAGAUUCUCUUUCCUGCAGUGAAUAAAGCUGUCACCACUAUUAAUCCCAAAGAAGCUGAUCUGGAAGUUGAAAAUGAUGCACUGAGGCUGCAGCUCACAUACACCUCUGCCUACUGGACCUACCUCCUCCUGCUGCUCAAGAGUGUGGUCUACUUGGCCAUCAUCACCUUCUGUCUGCUUAGAAGAACAGCUGUUGGUGGCAAUGGGAAGAGCUCCUAACAGAUGGUAGCAUAACACGGUCAUAUUAUCUUUAUAGUUUAUUUUCCUGAAAAGUUUCUGCUUAGGACUUAGCAGACUAGCAGCUAGGUUCAGGCUUCUCAGUUU